rnacentral:ribozyme from 1 species
AGUAGAGGAAGCUCAUCUCCAAGCAGAAGUUCCUCUGCUUGGUGAAGGUAUAGGUCAUUCAUUCCAUUGUUUCAGGGAAAGUGUGAAAUAAGAGUCUGUGGUUGUCGUCACCUGAUGUCACCUGCCUGAUAUGAAUGAAUUAGUAGCAUUUCUGGGUUAACACAGUGAAUACAGGUGAGCCUGGAUGAGGACAGGUACAAAAGCACUCCUAGAAGUUCAGGUCAGCAGGUUUUUUCUUAGCUCAAUGGGAGAGUUAGACUUUCUUCCCUUUAGGGUUCUCCUGCCCAACUUCAGGCUGCUUCCCCUAUU